rnacentral:rRNA from 1 species
GAAUCUUGCGCAAUGGGCGAAAGCCUGACGCAGCAACGCCGCGUGGGUGAUGAAGGCUCUCGGGUUGUAAACCCCUUUCAGCAGGGACGAAAUUGACGGUACCUGCAGAAGAAGCCCCGGCCAACUACGUGCCAGCAGCCGCGGUAACACGUAGGGGCCGAGCGUUGUCCGGAGUUACUGGGCGUAAAGGGCGCGCAGGCGGCCGGUCGCAUCGGCGGUGAAAGCCCCCCGCUCAACGGGGGAGGGUCCGUCGAGAUGGAUCGGCUGGAGGCAGGGAGAGGGCGGUGGAAUUCCGGGUGUAGUGGUGAAAUGCGUAGAGAUCCGGAGGAACACCAGUGGCGAAGGCGGCCGCCUGGACCUGACCUGACGCUGAGGCGCGAAGGCGUGGGGAGCGAACGG